UACACUCCUACGGGAGGCAGCAGUGGGGAAUAUUGGACAAUGGGCGCAAGCCUGAUCCAGCCAUGCCGCGUGAGUGAUGAAGGCCCUAGGGUUGUAAAGCUCUUUCACCGGUGAAGAUAAUGACGGUAACCGGAGAAGAAGCCCCGGCUAACUUCGUGCCAGCAGCCGCGGAAAUACGAAGGGGGCUAGCGUUGUUCGGAUUUACUGGGCGUAAAGCGCACGUAGGCGGACUAUUAAGUCAGGGGUGAAAUCCCGGGGCUCAACCCCGGAACUGCCUUUGAUACUGGUAGUCUUGAGUUCGAGAGAGGUGAGUGGAAUUCCGAGUGUAGAGGUGAAAUUCGUAGAUAUUCGGAGGAACACCAGUGGCGAAGGCGGCUCACUGGCUCGAUACUGACGCUGAGGUGCGAAAGCGUGGGGAGCAAACAGGAUUAGAAACCCCUGUAGUCCCAUGA
rnacentral:rRNA from 1 species